UGUCCUACGGGGGGCUGCAGUGGGGAAUCUUGCGCAAUGGGGGCAACCCUGACGCAGCCAUGCCGCGUGAACGAUGAAGGCCUUAGGGUUGUAAAGUUCUUUUACCCGUGACGAUGAUGACGGUAACGGGGGAAUAAGCUCCGGCUAACUUCGUGCCAGCAGCCGCGGUAAUACGAAGGGGGCUAGCGUUGUUCGGAAUUACUGGGCGUAAAGCGCGCGCAGGCGGUUCGAUAAGUUGGGGGUGAAAUCCCCGGGCUCAACCCGGGAAUGGCCUUCAAGACUGUCGAGCUAGAGGACGAGAGAGGUGAGUGGAAUUCCCAGUGUAGAGGUGAAAUUCGUAGAUAUUGGGAAGAACACCGGUGGCGAAGGCGGCUCACUGGCUCGUUUCUGACGCUGAGGCGCGAAAGCGUGGGGAGCAAACAGGAUUAGAUACCCCGGUAGUCU
rnacentral:rRNA from 1 species